rfam:Tropicibacter litoreus R37 strain CECT 7639 genome assembly, contig: 0001
GCGGAGGGCCGGAUGGCCGCGGGUGGGGGCUUGCCCCCACGCGAGGAAAGUCCGGACUCCAUGAAGCAACGGUGCCGGGUAACGCCCGGGCGGGGAAACCCGACGGAGAGCGCCACAGAAAUGAAACCGCCGCGCCUGUCGCGGUAAGGAUGAAACGGUGGGGUAAGAGCCCACCGCGCCCCUGGCAACAGGGGUGGCACGGCAAGCCCCACCUGGAGCAAUGCCAAAUAGGACCCCCGCGCGGGCCCGUGUCGGCCUUGGUCGAUACCGCCGCUAGGCGCGCUUCAGCCGAGAGGGGUCGGGUUGGCAGCUCGAGCCGCGCAGCAAUGCGUGGCCUAGAUGAAUGGUCAUCAAGGGGGGAAACCCCUGAACAGAAUCCGGCUUACAGGCCUUCCGCGCGU